GGGUUGUGAGGUUAAGUGACUAAGCGUACACGGUGGAUGCCUAGGCAGUCAGAGGCGAUGAAGGGCGUGCUAAUCUGCGAAAAGCGUCGGUAAGGUGAUAUGAACCGUUACAACCGGCGAUACCCGAAUGGGGAAACCCAGUGUGUUUCGACACACUAUCAUGUCAUGAAUACAUAGUGGCAUGAGGCGAACCGGGGGAACUGAAACAUCUAAGUACCCCGAGGAAAAGAAAUCAACCGAGAUUCCCCCAGUAGCGGCGAGCGAACGGGGAGGAGCCCAGAACCUGAAUCGGCUUGUGUGUUAGUGGAAGCGUCUGGAAAGUCGCGCAGCAAAGGGUGAUAGCCCCGUACACUAAAAUGCACAGGUCGUGAGUUCGAUGAGUAGGGCGGGACACGUGACAUCCUGUCUGAAUAUGGGGGGACCAUCCUCCAAGGCUAAAUACUCCUGACUGACCGAUAGUGAACCAGUACCGUGAGGGAAAGGCGAAAAGAACCCCGGCGAGGGGAGUGAAAUAGAACCUGAAACCGUGUACGUACAAGCAGUGGGAGCACCUUCGUGGUGUGACUGCGUACCUUUUGUAUAAUGGGUCAGCGACUUAUAUUUUGUAGCAAGGUUAACCGUAUAGGGGAGCCGUAGGGAAACCGAGUCUUAACUGGGCGAAUAGUUGCAAGGUAUAGACCCGAAACCCGGUGAUCUAGCCAUGGGCAGGUUGAAGGUUGGGUAACACUAACUGGAGGACCGAACCGACUAAUGUUGAAAAAUUAGCGGAUGACUUGUGGCUGGGGGUGAAAGGCCAAUCAAACCGGGAGAUAGCUGGUUCUCCCCGAAAGCUAUUUAGGUAGCGCCUCGUGAACUCAUCUUCGGGGGUAGAGCACUGUUUCGGCUAGGGGGCCAUCCCGGCUUACCAAACCGAUGCAAACUCCGAAUACCGAAGAAUGUUAUCACGGGAGACACACGGCGGGUGCUAACGUCCGUCGUGAAGAGGGAAACAACCCAGACCGCCAGCUAAGGUCCCAAAGUCAUGGUUAAGUGGGAAACGAUGUGGGAAGGCACAGACAGCCAGGAUGUUGGCUUAGAAGCAGCCAUCAUUUAAAGAAAGCGUAAUAGCUCACUGGUCGAGUCGGCCUGCGCGGAAGAUGUAACGGGGCUAAACCAUGCACCGAAGCUGCGGCAGCGACGCUUAGGCGUUGUUGGGUAGGGGAGCGUUCUGUAAGCCGUUGAAGGUGGCCUGUGAGGGUUGCUGGAGGUAUCAGAAGUGCGAAUGCUGACAUAAGUAACGAUAAAGCGGGUGAAAAGCCCGCUCGCCGGAAGACCAAGGGUUCCUGUCCAACGUUAAUCGGGGCAGGGUGAGUCGACCCCUAAGGCGAGGCUGAAAAGCGUAGUCGAUGGGAAACAGGUUAAUAUUCCUGUACUUGGUGUUACUGCGAAGGGGGGACGGAGAAGGCUAGGCUGGCCGGGCGACGGUUGUCCCGGUUUAAGCGUGUAGGGGGUGUGACCUGGUAAAUCCGGUUGCAUAUCAACCCUGAGGCGUGAUGACGAUGCACUAUGGUGCAGAAGUAGUUGAUGCCCUGCUUCCAGGAAAAUCCUCUAAGCUCCAGGUAACAUUGAAUCGUACCCCAAACCGACACAGGUGGUCAGGUAGAGAAUACCAAGGCGCUUGAGAGAACUCGGGUGAAGGAACUAGGCAAAAUGGUGCCGUAACUUCGGGAGAAGGCACGCUGGCAUGUAGGUGAAGUCCCUUGCGGAUGGAGCUGAAGCCAGUCGAAGAUACCAGCUGGCUGCAACUGUUUAAUAAAAACACAGCACUGUGCAAACACGAAAGUGGACGUAUACGGUGUGACGCCUGCCCGGUGCUGGAAGGUUAAUUGAUGGGGUCAGCCGCAAGGCGAAGCUCUUGAUCGAAGCCCCAGUAAACGGCGGCCGUAACUAUAACGGUCCUAAGGUAGCGAAAUUCCUUGUCGGGUAAGUUCCGACCUGCACGAAUGGCGUAAUGAUGGCCAGGCUGUCUCCACCCGAGACUCAGUGAAAUUGAACUCGCUGUGAAGAUGCAGUGUACCCGCGGCAAGACGGAAAGACCCCGUGAACCUUUACUAUAGCUUGACACUGAACAUUGAGCCUUGAUGUGUAGGAUAGGUGGGAGGCUUUGAAGCGUGGACGCCAGUCUGCGUGGAGCCAUCCUUGAAAUACCACCCUUUAAUGUUUGAUGUUCUAACUCGGCCCCAUAAUCUGGGGUGAGGACAGUGUCUGGUGGGUAGUUUGACUGGGGCGGUCUCCUCCCAAAGAGUAACGGAGGAGCACGAAGGUUAGCUAAUCACGGUCGGACAUCGUGAGGUUAGUGCAAAGGCAUAAGCUAGCUUGACUGCGAGAGUGACGGCUCGAGCAGGUACGAAAGUAGGUCUUAGUGAUCCGGUGGUUCUGAAUGGAAGGGCCAUCGCUCAACGGAUAAAAGGUACUCCGGGGAUAACAGGCUGAUACCGCCCAAGAGUUCAUAUCGACGGCGGUGUUUGGCACCUCGAUGUCGGCUCAUCACAUCCUGGGGCUGAAGUAGGUCCCAAGGGUAUGGCUGUUCGCCAUUUAAAGUGGUACGCGAGCUGGGUUUAGAACGUCGUGAGACAGUUCGGUCCCUAUCUGCCGUGGGCGUUGGAAGAUUGAGAGGGGUUGCUCCUAGUACGAGAGGACCGGAGUGAACGCACCACUGGUGUUCGGGUUGUCAUGCCAAUGGCAUUGCCCGGUAGCUAAGUGCGGAAAAGAUAAGCGCUGAAAGCAUCUAAGCGCGAAACUUGCCUCAAGAUGAGUCUUCCCUGGGCCUUUAAGGCCCCUGAAGGAACGUUUAAGACUAAGACGUUGAUAGGCUGGGUGUGUAAGUGCAGCGAUGCAUUGAGCUAACCAGUACUAAUGAUCCGUGAGGCUUAACCUUACAACACCGAAGGUGUUUUAG
rnacentral:rRNA from 1 species